rnacentral:rRNA from 1 species
GACGAACGCUGGCGGCGUGCCUAAUACAUGCAAGUAGAACGCAGGAUAUUUAGUUUACUAAUUAUUCUGAGUUGCGAACGGGUGAGUAACGCGUAGGUAACCUACCUCAUAGCGGGGGACAACUAUUGGAAACGAUAGCUAAUACCGCAUAAAAGUGAUGAUCCCAUGAUUGUCAUUUAAAAGGAACAAUUGUUCCACUAUGAGAUGGACCUGCGUUGUAUUAGCUAGUAGGUAAGGUAAUGGCUUACCUAGGCGACGAUACAUAGCCGACCUGAGAGGGUGAUCGGCCACACUGGGACUGAGACACGGCCCAGACUCCUACGGGAGGCAGCAGUAGGGAAUCUUCGGCAAUGGACGAAAGUCUGACCGAGCAACGCCGCGUGAGUGAAGAAGGUUUUCGGAUCGUAAAGCUCUGUUGUAAGAGAAGAACAUUGAUGGGAGUGGAAAAUCCAUUAAUUGACGGUACCUUACCAGAAAGGGACGGCUAACUACGUG